GCUCGAGUACCUGCUGCUUUUAUUUUCAUUCUUAUUACACUUCUUUAGUGACUUCGCUUUCGUGAAAAAUAACAUUUUCUAUUGAUUUCCGUACACAUGUAUGUAACGCCCAAAUGCAUGUUAACUCUUGAGGGUUCUAUAUUUGUUUCUGCUUCUGUGCCAAUUUGAAAGGCAAGAUUUAUUGUUUGUGUAAAGGAACCAGGAAAGAUGGACAAAUCAUCAGUCUGCUACUGAACCCUCAAUUGAAGAAAUACAUACUCAAAUUGUUUAUCUUCUUCCUUUCUUGGUUGUUCGUACUACAAAAAUAAUAUUAAAAGGGAAAAUCUACAUUUGUGGGGACGUCAGUUAAGUAACGGAGCAUUAUACUGUUAGAAACCUAUGCAGAAGUAAACAAAACGCAGUUCACAUAAGCUUCAUAUAGGUUGCUUUGCUGAUUCUUUGAUACACAGCUUAGUUAGAAUUUCUGGCAAUGACCUACUUCAUGAAAGUUGCCUAUUUGUUUACCUGUAAUGACCCGAGCAGAAAAGUGGAGCAAGCAUGUCAAAAUUUUCAUCCACGUUAAAUGAAAAAGAUAAUUGCGCUGAAACAAAAUUUUCAUAAUAUUUUCCCUUGAAAUUUCCUCAAAAGCCUAAUCUUCAUCAAACUUGAUCCUUUUGGGAGCAGGCUGUACGUCACCCACAAUUUCUGGGCACUCAUAAUCAAGACCAGCAGCCUCUAUCAUCUUUUGCCGCUUCUGACCUUUCUUCAUAAUCUUUUCCACCAACUUUUUAUGCUCUUCAAGUGUUCUAUCCUGAGCAGCCAUAUCACAGGAAAUAUUUAUUUUGAUUGAUAAAUAACAUAAGAAAAAAGAAAACUAAGAGGGAAAAAAUGAAAAGAAAAGCAGGAGGAGGAAGAGAAGCCUCUUUCUCUUAAGCAUCAAAAUAUAAUCAGCCUGAAUUGUCACUUAUCCACAUUUUAUACCAUGUUCUGCCGCUUUCGCUCAAUUUGGACCCGGUCCAAUGGUUUAUAUUGAUAAUUAAAACCUUUCCACAAUUUUGGAUGAACAUGCUCUGGAGGGAUAAGAUGGACUUGCAGAAGAUGCUCGAACAAUAGAUAAUUAUGCAUACACUCAGCAACAACUUCAGCCACCUCAGGAUCUGCAAAUUCAAUAAAUCCAUAAUGCUUUGAUUUUCCAGUCUGUAAACAACCCAGAUCGAGUGAUACCAAAACUAAUACCACCAUAUUACAUUAAGACAUCACAUAACUGGCUUCACAAAAUAUACAAACUAUAGUACUUUUAGCAUAUAAGUUUGAGAAUCUACAAUGAUAUCAUGCAAGAUUUGAUCUAUCAUGAGAUAUCGAGAGACCUUAGAGGAGCCUACGAAUCCAUUUUUCCCUACUCUGGAAAGUAAAAACUUUUAGUUAUACAGAAGCCUUGUUUAUUUAGUAAUAAAAUGCUAUACUAAAAUGGCUGAAAUCUAGUUUCUCAAAUGUUAGAAUGUUAUGAAUAAACAGCAAACCAGAGAUUUUCAGCAAGUCUGUAAGAGUUUCUCGCAUGGGAAAAAGAAGGCAGAAAACUGAUUUGCAUAAAAUUAUUUCUUUACUUAGUUUAUUAAGAUUUUCUUUUCCUUAUUCAGUUUUUUUUAAUUCAAGUAAUAUUUAGUUUUCCAACCAUAGAACUAUUAGUUGUGCAGAAAAAAAAAGCUUGUUUAGGCAUAUACUCCUAAAUAAUAAAUGAGUACAUUCCUGUUUAGAGUCCAGUUAGGAACCAGAGAAUAUUUAAGCACUUCAUAUUCAGAAAUAAAAUUAUUCAAGCCUAGUUUUAUUCCAGGUUGAGUUCCUAAAAUGCUCAGAGAUCAAAGGGUUCUCUCUAACAAGCCUUCUUUUUACAUUCACAACAAGUAACAAAGGAAAAGACCAUAAAACUAACAAGCCACAAUCCAGUAAUUUCCUAUUAUAUUUCUCUGUGACUGCAUGUAUACUUGAUCCCAGACCAUGGUUUCAAAUAACGGCUGUUACGUAACAUAACGGCCGUUAUUUACAAGUUUUAAAGGAGGCCGUUACACAUGAGGCCGUUAUUUACAGGCAA
rnacentral:misc_RNA from 1 species